AGGCAGCUGGCAAGUCAAAAUCCAGGUGUGGAUGGACUGGGGGGUCUUGUCCUGACUUUCAACUGUCACC
rnacentral:miRNA from 1 species